rnacentral:tRNA from 1 species
GCCUGAGUGACGAAAUUGGUAGACGUAGCGGAUUCAAAAUCCGCCGGUGAAUAACCAUGUCGGUUCGAGUCCGACCUCAGGCA